UACGUAGGGUGCAAGCGUUGUCCGGAAUUAUUGGGCGUAAAGAGCUCGUAGGCGGUGUGUCGCGUCGGCCGUGAAAACCUGCAGCUUAACUGUGGGCGUGCGGUCGAUACGGGCAUCACUGGAGUUCGGCAGGGGAGACUGGAAUUCCUGGUGUAGCGGUGAAAUGCGCAGAUAUCAGGAGGAACACCCGUGGCGAAGGCGGCUCUCUGGGACGGUACUGACGCUGAGACGCGAAAGCGUGGGGAGCGAACAGG
rnacentral:rRNA from 1 species